rnacentral:lncRNA from 10 species
CUAUUCUGAGGGGAUGCUGAUCUGAGGGGACCCUGUUUUGUGGGGAUCCUGUUCUGUGGAAACCCUGUUCUGAGUGGGAUGCUGUUCUAAGGGGACCCUGUUCUACAGGGGAUUUGAUUCUACGCCCUGAAAGCCAUCACAGAGGUGACCACCACACUACAGCACAUUCUCAUCCGGCUGGAGAACCUGCAGAAGCUAACGGAGCUGCAGCGGGACCUGGUGGGCAUAGAGAACCUCAUUGCUCCUGGCAGGGAGUUCAUCCGUGAGGGCUGCCUUCACAAGCUCACCAAGAAGGGCCUGCAGCAGAGGAUGUUUUUUCUGUUCUCAGAUAUGUUGCUGUACACAAGCAAAGGAGUUGCAGGGACCAGCCACUUCCGGAUCCGGGGCCUCCUUCCCCUCCAAGGCAUGCUGAUGGAGUCUUGCUCUGUGUCCCAGGCUGGAGUGCCCAGGCACGAUCUCGGCUCACUGCAAACUCCGCCUCCUG